CAGCCGCCGCGGUAAUACCAGCCCGCGAGUGGUCGGGACGGUUAUUGGGCCUAAAGCGCCCGUAGCCGGCCCGGCAAGUCCCUCCUUAAAGCCUCGGGCCCAACCCGAGGACGGGGGGGAUACUGCCGGGCUAGGGGGCGGGAGAGGCCGGCGGUACUCCCGGGGUAGGGGCGAAAUCCGUUAAUCCCGGGAGGACCACCAGUGGCGAAGGCGGCCGGCUGGAACGCGCCCGACGGUGAGGGGCGAAAGCCGGGGGAGCGAACCGGAUUAGAUACCCGGGUAGUCCCGGCUGUAAACGAUGCGGGCUAGCUGUUGGGCGGGCUUAGAGCCCGCCCAGUGGCGCAGGGAAGCCGUUAAGCCCGCCGCCUGGGGAGUACGGCCGCAAGGCUGAAACUUAAAGGAAUUGGCGGG
rnacentral:rRNA from 1 species